rnacentral:rRNA from 1 species
CCUACGGGAGGCAGCAGUCGAGAAUCAUUCACAAUGGGGGAAACCCUGAUGGGGCGACGCCGCGUGGGGGAAUGAAGGUCUUCGGAUUGUAAACCCCUGUCAUGUGGGAGCAAAUUAAAAAGAUAGUACCACAAGAGGAAGAGACGGCUAACUCUGGGCCAGCAGCCGCGGUAAUACAGAGGUCUCAAGCGGUGUCCGGAAUCACUGGGCGUAAAGCGUGCGUAGGCGGUUUUGUAAGUCGGGUGUGAAAGGCGCGGGCUCAACCCGCGGACGGCACAUGAUACUGCGAGACUAGAGUAAUGGAGGGGGAACCGGAAUUCUCGGUGUAGCGGUGAAAUGCGUAGAUAUCGAGAGGAACACUCGUGGCGAAGGCGGGUUCCUGGACAUUAACUGACGCUGAGGCACGAAAGCCAGGGGAGCGAAAAGGAUUAGAUACCCGUGUAGUC